rnacentral:tRNA from 1 species
GGCCCCGUCGUCUAGCGGCCCAGGACGCCGCCCUCUCAAGGCGGUGGCGGGGGUUCGAAUCCCCUCGGGGCUA